rnacentral:misc_RNA from 1 species
GCAUGCGAGGAAGAGUGCUGCAAGCGAUAGAAAUUUUGAGAAUACGUUAUCGGCAAUCCUUUUUAGUUUUAUUUUUUGCUUUCUUGCUGCUGCUGAUGUUUUCAUGGGGCCUGUGUCACUGAUAUCCGUGUGGUUCGUUUUCCUGUUUUGCCCAUAUCGUGACUCGGACAGCAUCAUGAACGUUGUUUUCGAACUUGACAGGCAUCUUUGAUCGUCGUUGUGUGAGUAUGUGGGUUGAUCCAGAGUAGCGGCAAGCGGCGUCGGUGUUCAUCUGUCUCUCAAGCUGUGCUCGCGUGUAUCUCUAUGUGCUUGGAGUCGCUCGUCGUACGAGUGGUGGUCAACCACGAUGGGUGUGCGCUCCUCUCAAAACAGCGAUGAUGCUGUAAAGAGAGCCAUUGAAUGUGGAGCAGGCGCGAUGCUUUGUGGCGGUUGUGUACCCAUGUAGGUACAACCACAAGAGGCGGUGACCCCCUUGCUGCAGCCACCGCGCCUAGUGCAGAGCAGUGCUGCUGGCGCUUGUCUUGCUGCGAGGAUAGCCUGAUCAGCUGAGACACGGAAGCGCAAGUGUGGCUGGCGUUACGCACUCGCUGCCGCUCCUCAUGACGCCCAGCACGGGACCUACAAGAGCAAAGAAUGGCAUAUGGCGGCGUGUCUGGGCACGAGUGCUGGUCACACCAGCCCUUCGCGUGCGCCUCUCAUUUCCGUUUUUCUUUUUCUGCGUCCAUCGUGCAUAGGAGCACAACGGCACAGCUACGGAGCUCGCGAAAUGAGCAAUGGCAGAGGCGUCGGCGCCAACUGCACGGAUCGCGGGCCUGGCCACUGGCCUCAGGCGCCAGGCCGCCAUCCUCCGCAGCCGCGCUGCACGAUGCGGCACGCUGAGACAAGAGGUUCGUGGACGCAGCCGGCCAACACCCGAGGAACCCUGCUGCUGAGCGCACGCGACGGCAGGCGGACCUCCUCGCCCAAGUCUGCACCGGCACCUGUCUGUGCUUCGGGCUCCUCCAGCGGCAGGUGGCUCGUGGUGGCAGCAUGGAGUGCAGAUGGCGGGCCGCCUACUACACCGCUACCCGGUGUGGUGCCCCCCGCCCUCCCACCCCCUGUGUUUUGCUUUGAGGACGUCUGGCCCUGCGUUGUGUGCGGCAGGCUGUGCGACAUUCUCGCACCUCUCGACGCUCGAACCAGACUCCAUUUCACGCGACCAGUUUGCACGGAAUGACCUUACGCGCGCCUCGCUUGCGCUGCACCGGGGCUCCGCCGUCUGGUGUCCAUCGCUGCCCCGCCCCAACCCUUCUCUGCAUUCUCAG